AGUGAACGCUGGCGGUAGGCCUAACACAUGCAAGUCGAACGGCAGCACAGGAGAGCUUGCUCUCUGGGUGGCGAGUGGCGGACGGGUGAGGAAUACAUCGGAAUCUACUCUGUCGUGGGGGAUAACGUAGGGAAACGUACGCUAAUACCGCAUACGACCUACGGGUGAAAGCAGGGGAACUUCGGGCCUUGCGCGAUUGAAUGAGCCGAUGUCGGAUUAGCUAGUUGGCGGGGUAAAUGCCCACCAAGGCGACGAUCCGUAGCUGGUCUGAGAGGAUGAUCAGCCACACUGGAACUGAGACACGGUCCAGACUCCUACGGGAGGCAGCAGUGGGGAAUAUUGGCCAAUGGGCGCAAGCCUGAUCCAGCCAUACCGCGUGGGUGAAGAAGGCCUUCGGGUUGUAAAGCCCUUUUGUUGGGAAAGAAAUCCAGCUGGCUAAUACCCGGUUGGGAUGACGGUACCCAAAGAAUAAGCACCGGCUAACUUCGUGCCAGCCGCCGCAGUAA
rnacentral:rRNA from 1 species